CAACUCUGAGCGGUGGAUCACUCGGCUCGUGUGUCGAUGAAGAGCGCAGCCAACUGUGUGAAUUAAUGCAAACUGCAUACUGCUUUGAACAUCGACAUCUUGAACGCAUAUUGCGGCCAUGGGUUAGCCUGUGGCCACGCCUGUCCGAGGGUCGGCU
rnacentral:rRNA from 1 species